CGUUCGCGCUCCUAUCGGGGUGUCUAAAACCGCCGCGCAUAGGAGCCGCAUUCAGCGGCCGUGUAAACACCGCGUCGAGCCUCCUCGAGAAUCCUUAUUCCGACGCCCUUUAAACGAUUUGAUAGUUUCUGUAUCCUAGUUUAUUAUUAUUAUUCAACUUACUUAUAGGCUGUGUGUAUGAGUGUGUGUAAAUGUCGUGAAUGGUUGAUCGUCGUUACGCUAUAUAAACAGCCGGCAGAUCACAACAAUCGACGCUUUCCAAACAUACCAAACCUUCAAGGAGGUUAAAGUCACAAGGACUUUCGUGUGGAUCACGCGGAUUUUUCCAUAAAAGAGACAUUGCGCUUUGAGCCGACGAACGACGUACAUACCGUGACGCGGAGCGCCAGUUGGUGAAUUAGUUAUCGCUUCCAUUGGAUCUUAAAAUAUUUAAUUGGAUUCUCGUCGGCAACGCUUUAAUUAACACACACGUUUCUCCGAUCGAAUCGCAUCUGAGUGGAGUGGAGUGUCAGUGUCAGUGCCAUGAGUGAGUAUCCGGAGCAGCCGCGAGCCAGGAUGCUGAAUCGGGAAGGACGUAGGAUGCCGACAUGAGAGCAGAGCGGUACGUCAUACAUUGCCAGGUUUUCCCACGAAACGAUGACGGAAGAGAGAAGGACAGAAGAAGAAGAAGAAGAGGUGAUUCACGGAGGGUUUCGAUACGCGGCGAAAGAUCGAGAAGGGAAACGUCGCAUCCGCGCGGGGAAUAAAAAUUUCGAAGUUGGCUUCUCGACCGAACGGAUUACGAAAAAUCUGGGGCGAAGCGGCGUUCUUAAGGGCCACUCGAGAGGAGUCCUUGCCGGUGGCAUACCUCCCUUUCACAUGCUAACUCUUCUCAAUAGUCCGGCGCCGAGACGCUCUCAGACGCUACUCAAGCUGUCAAGCCGCUGUCAGAGAUGCAGAUCUAAAUUGCGACGCGGGGGAUAUCCGAAGCAAUAUCGAUCCGAAGAUGUCUGCGAGGGAAGGAACCGCGUGACUGCAAGCCACCGUCGUCAUCGCACCUCCCGCGCGCGCGCGACGAACACGGCUGCAUGGAUAACCAGCCGAUCGUAAAAAGCAUUUAAACUUGAAGAUGAAAAACUGCGGGAUGUAACGCAAUACAAGUCGGUGUCCCACCUUGAUGCGACAGAUAAUUUCUCCAUGUUGAAGAAGCCCGAAGAAAUAUUUGUGCAAGAAUUAUUUAAUAUUUGAUUAUCUCAUACAAAUAGACAAAUAAACAGGAUAUUCAUGAAGUUAUAAUUACUUAUCAUGAUGACGGGGCUAUGAAUGUGCCGGCCGAAAUUUCGGCCUACUUUUCGUAUCUACUUGUUCUCA